UACGUAGGGUGCAAGCGUUAAUCGGAAUUACUAGGCGUAAAGCGUGCGCAGGCGGUGAUGUAAGACAGAUGUGAAAUCCCCGGGCUCAACCUGGGAACUGCAUUUGUGACUGCAUUGCUGGAGUGCGGCAGAGGGGGAUGGAAUUCCGCGUGUAGCAGUGAAAUGCGUAGAUAUGCGGAGGAACACCGAUGGCGAAGGCAAUCCCCUGGGCCUGCACUGACGCUCAUGCACGAAAGCGUGGGGAGCAAACAGG
rnacentral:rRNA from 1 species